UAGGGAAUCUUCGGCAAUGGACGAAAGUCUGACCGAGCAACGCCGCGCGAGUGAAGAAGGUUUUCGGAUCGUAAAACUCUGUUGUUUGAGAAGAACAAGGACGUUAGUAACUGAACGUCCCCUGACGGUAUCUAACCAGAAAGCCACGGCUAACUACGUGCCAGCAGCCGCGGUAAUACGUAGGUGGCAAGCGUUGUCCGGAUUUAUUGGGCGUAAAGCGAGCGCAGGCGGUUUCUUAAGUCUGAUGUGAAAGCCCCCGGCUCAACCGGGGAGGGUCAUUGGAAACUGGGAGACUUGAGUGCAGAAGAGGAGAGUGGAAUUCCAUGUGUAGCGGUGAAAUGCGUAGAUAUAUGGAGGAACACCAGUGGCGAAGGCGGCUCUCUGGUCUGUAACUGACGCUGAGGCUCGAAAGCGUGGGGAGCAAACAGG
rnacentral:rRNA from 1 species